rnacentral:rRNA from 1 species
UACGUAGGGUGCAAGCGUUGUCCGGAUUUAUUGGGUUUAAAGGGUGCGUAGGUGGUUUGUUAAGUCAGUGGUGAAAGACGGUUGCUCAACAAUCAAUGUGCCAUUGAUACUGACGAACUUGAGUAAAGUGGAGGCUGGAGGAAUGGAUGGUGUAGCGGUGAAAUGCAUAGAUAUCAUCCAGAACGUCAAUUGCGAAGGCAUCUGGCUGUACUUUUACUGACACUGAGGCACGAAAGCGUGGGGAUCAAACAGG